GAUGAAGAACGUAGCGAAAUACGAUAAGUAAUGUGAAUUGCAGAAUUCAGUGAAUCAUCGAAUCUUUGAACGCACAUUGCGCCCAUUAGUAUUCUAGUGGGCAUGCCUGUUCGAGCGUCAUUAAGUCCACUUAAGCCCUGCUUAGUGUUGGGAGACUGCUCCAGCGGUGCUACCCUGUAGCUACCCUGCAGCUCCUCAAAGACAGCGGCGGAGUUGUGGUAUCCUCUGAGCUUAGUAACUUGUUCUAGCUUUCGAGUACACCACUUCCCCUGCCGUAAAACCCUUAAUUUUUAAUGGUUGACCUCGGAUCAGGUAGGAAUACCCGCUGAACUUAAGCAUAUCAAUAAGCGGAGGA
rnacentral:misc_RNA from 1 species